UUUUGUUCUUCUAACUCGCGGCCGACACCAAGAGUAUUGUGGAUAACGUUUUUGCAUUAUUUUCGUCGUGGCUAAAACCAAGAAAGAAAAUCGGCACAUCUUAACAAUUUUAUAAUAUAAAGACGUACAAACGAUGAACGGAGGGACAAACGAUGUGUUUGGAAAAAAAGAUGAAUCCCAGCUGCCAGCUUUAGAGGCAUGAUGCUAGGACAGGAUGCAUUCAUUAAUACAGCUAAGUAACAAAAAGAUAGUAGUUACCAAUGAAGACUUGUUAUAAAAAAAACUAAACCAGCUAAUAAAAUAAACUAAAGUAGUCAGAAACUUUGAAAACAAGUUAGAGUGAUUUAUUUCAUUCACCCUUUGACAAAGUGGCUGGUACAAAACACUGACCAAAAUUGGCCCCCUGGCAAAUGGACCCUUGCUAAAAAAAAAUAAGAUUUCUAGAUAUAAAUGGGUUUUCUAAUAAAAAAAAUUCUUAGUUCCAAUUGCACUAAUUAACCACUACCAGUUGCACUAAUUAACUCAACAGGGGUUUGUGAGAAAUCUACUUUUGAAAUAGCUAUUAUUUGAAUCUGAGAUGAUAUUUGCAAAAAUCAACAGCACUGUACUCUCAUUAUUAGUCAACAUAAUAAAUGGGUGUAUAGAAUGUACCAUUUGACCUUUCAUGAAAUUAUUUCACAGAUAAUUUAGCACUAUUCGUGGAAGUGAUCUUUUUUUAAUGCCACACCGAGCCCUAUUUUAUGUUUAAGCACAAAAAUAACAGAUGUACAUACCCUUGACACCCUGAUGCUUCAAUAUGGGUCCGUGGACCACCUCAAGGAGGGUCAGUGUUUUUUACAAACCAUACCCAAGACAUAGUGUCAAUUCAAAUAGAGUAGUAGCCACAAAAACACAGUAGAGAAGGUUGAUAAAACUGUUUAGCCAAUAUUUGUAAUUUUUACCAAAUAACUUUUAUUACCCUUUUACUGAAAGAAAAUUAUAAUAAUCAAGAAAUUCUAGUAGUGCAAUGUGAAAGGAAGAAAGGGAAUUUGGACAGUGUAGGCAAGUAUGAAGCACAUUCACUGGCAAAAGCAAUAUGCUUAUGUUUAGAAAUGUGUUGUGAGCUGAUAAAAAGAAACCCAUUUUGCUGUAAAAAAAAAAAAAACUAUAAUUCUUUAAUGUUCCGUAAUCGAUGAUACCUCCAAAUACGCCCAAACAAGUUUCUCCGGGUUAAACAACAACAAAAAAAUAUACCUACAUACAUAUCCCACUCUUCACCUGUGCAUCACGAAUUCUUCUAUGAACGGCUUCACUCACACAUUGCAUAUAUACAUACAUAUAAUGUAUUAAGCUUAAAAAGCCUCUGGCUUCGGCUUUUCCCUUAUUGUAUUUACAUUUAAAAUAUUCAAUAAAAGAUUGAUUGAUUAUUAUAAUAUGGCUUAAAUAGAUUGUACGCUGGCUCCGCUUUUAGGCAGUGCCUAAAUCUAUAUAUUAUCACUAUACAAAUUUUCUUGCGUACUAGAAUACAAACCGAGUGCUUGGGUUACCUGUGCAUACAUCAUUUUGCGCUUAGCAAUAGGGGACUUGCGCUAAGUGAUCACGUGAUCUUUCUGGAUGGCAAAUUAAAAA